AGAGUUUGAUUAUGGCUCAGGAUGAACGCUAGCGAUAGGCUUAACACAUGCAAGUCGAGGGGCAGCAUAAAGGUAGCAAUACUUUGGUGGCGACCGGCGCACGGGUGAGUAACACGUAUGCAACCUACCCAUAACUGGGGGAUAGCUCGUCGAAAGGCGAAUUAAUACCGCAUAAAGCAGGGGCUCCGCAUGGAGAUAUUUGCUAAAGAUUUAUUGGUUAUGGAUGGGCAUGCGCUCCAUUAGGUAGUUGGUAUGGGUAACGGCCUACCAAGCCAUCGAUGGAUAGGGGAACUGAGAGGUUUAUCCCCCACACUGGUACUGAGACACGGACCAGACUCCUACGGGAGGCAGCAGUGAGGAAUAUUGGUCAAUGGGCGAGAGCCUGAACCAGCCAAAUCGCGUGAAGGAUGACGGUAUUAUGUAUUGUAAACUUCUUUUAUGAGGGAAUAAAGUGGGGCAUGUAUGCUCUUUUGUAUGUACCUUAGGAAUAAGCAUCGGCUAACUCCGUGCCAGCAGCCGCGGUAAUACGGAGGAUGCGAGCGUUAUCCGGAUUUAUUGGGUUUAAAGGGUGCGUAGGUGGAUUGGUCAGUCAGCGGUGAAAUCUCGGAGCUUAACUCUGAAACUGCCGUUGAAACUUCCAAUCUUGAGUGUGAACGAGGUAGGCGGAAUUCGUAGUGUAGCGGUGAAAUGCAUAGAUAUUACGAAGAACUCCGAUAGCGCAGGCAGCUUACCAGGCCACAACUGACACUGAUGCACGAAAGUGUGGGUAUCAAACAGGAUUAGAUACCCUGGUAGUCCACACAGUAAACGAUGAAUACUAACUGUUUGCGAUAUACAGUAAGCGGUACAGCGAAAGCGUUAAGUAUUCCACCUGGGGAGUACGCCGGCAACGGUGAAACUCAAAGGAAUUGACGGGGCCCGCACAAGCGGAGGAACAUGUGGUUUAAUUCGAUGAUACGCGAGGAACCUUACCCGGGCUC
rnacentral:rRNA from 1 species